rnacentral:misc_RNA from 1 species
CCGAAUCGUCGACACGAGUUGUUGCUGGCCUUCAGACGGGGGCAUGUGCACGCUCUGUUUACACAUCCACCCACCCCUGUGCACCUUUUGUAGUUCUGUGGUCUGGAGGCUCCGCUUCCCUUCCGUGGUUCUACGUCUUUACACACACACGUCGAAGAAGUCCUGUGGAAUGCACACCGCGUUUAACGCAAUACAAUA